GAUAAACGCUAGCGGCGUGCCUUAUGCAUGCAAGUCGAACGGUCUCGAUUUAUCGAGAUAGUGGCGAACGGGUGAGUAACGCGUAAGUAACCUGCCCCUAAGUAGGGGAUAACUCUGAGAAAUUAGAGCUAAUACUGUAUGUGGUGGUGGGGGUAAUGCUUCAUCACUAAAGCCUUAGGGCGCUUAGGGAGGGGCUUGCGUCCGAUUAGCUAGUUGGUAGGGUAAUGGUUUACCAAGGCGAUGAUCGGUAGCUGGUUUGAGAGGACAUCCAGCCACACUGGGAUUGAGAUACGGCCCAGACUCCUACGGGAGGCAGCAGCAAGGAAUUUUGUGCAAUGGGCGAAAGCCUGACACAGCGACGCCGCGUGGGGGAUGAAGGCCUUCGGGUUGUAAACCCCUUUUCUCAGGGAAGAAUAAUGACGGUACCUGGGGAAUAAGUCUUGGCUAACUACGUG
rnacentral:rRNA from 1 species